GAUGAACGCUGGCGGCGUGCUUAACACAUGCAAGUCGAACGAAGCACCUUGAUUCGAUUCUUCGGAUGAAGAUCUUGGUGACUGAGUGGCGGACGGGUGAGUAACGCGUGGGUAACCUGCCUCAUACAGGGGGAUAACAGUUAGAAAUGACUGCUAAUACCGCAUAAGACCACAGCACCGCAUGGUGCAGGGGUAAAAACUCCGGUGGUAUGAGAUGGACCCGCGUCUGAUUAGGUAGUUGGUGGGGUAACGGCCUACCAAGCCGACGACCAGUAGCCGAGCUGAGAGGGUGGCCGGCCACAUUGGGACUGAGACACGGCCCGAACUCCUACGGGAGGCAGCAGUGGGUGAUAUUGCACAAUGGGGGAAACCCUGAUGCAGCGACGCCGCGUGAGCGAUGAAGUAUUUCGGUAUGUAAAGCUCUAUCAGCAGGGAAGAAAAUGACGGUACCUGACGAAGAAGCACCGGCUAAAUACGUG
rnacentral:rRNA from 1 species